AACACGUUCCGUUUACGACUCAUACAUUCUGGUCCGAGUUAUCCACCGAAUCCAAUUCCCAUUCCAAUUUGGUUUUCCCUUUCCUUGAUUUUCCUGGACAUUUUUCCUGGGAAAAUAAAUAUCCCGCAACCCAUAACGCAUUCUCAAUCACCAAUUCCCAAUUCUCAAAAAUCUCUUUCUUAUUUGUUAUUUUUGUACCUCGAAUCGGAAAUCUCGAUGGAUGUUUCCGUCAUCGCCGAUACUUUAACGAUAGCCACACAACAAGGGCUAGGGUUUACGAAUUCGAUUAUUCACCGACAAAAUUGUGUCUCCAAUGGCAGCCUAGCUCUCUCCGCCGGAUUCCUCCAAAUCUCCGCCGUUAUUUUGGACGCAAUAGCUCCUCCGCCUGUCAAAUCCAACUCGCAUAUAACCGCUCGCCGGACUCUUCUUCGCAAGAAGCGGCGGACGAGGCGGAGAUCAUCCAGCGGCGGAGGCUACGAGGAAUUCGGUGAAGAUAG
rnacentral:misc_RNA from 1 species